rnacentral:rRNA from 1 species
UACGUAGGGUGCAAGCGUUGUCCGGAAUUAUUGGGCGUAAAGAGCUCGUAGGCGGUUUGUUGCGUCGGCUGUGAAAUCCCGAGGCUCAACCUCGGGUCUGCAGUCGAUACGAGCAAACUAGAGUGUUGCAGGGGAGACUGGAAUUCCUGGUGUAGCGGUGAAAUGCGCAGAUAUCAGGAGGAACACCGGUGGCGAAGGCGGGUCUCUGGGCAGCAACUGACGCUGAGGAGCGACAGCGUGGGGAGCAAACAGG